rnacentral:misc_RNA from 1 species
CGAAAAAAGCAGCAAGUAUGUAUCUUAUAACUAUAUUUCAUUAAUUCACCGAAAAAGCAUGUAAUCAUAAGUAUUCCACUGAAUUUUGUAAAAUAAGUUCUCCGGGCUACAUAGAAGAAAUUCUUGAAUGUAAGUUUUAAGCAAAACUAUACAAAAUGUUUGACAGCUACAGUAAUGGCUAUCAAAUAUAACGUAAAGGCGUACGUAGGAUUUAUAUAGGCAGAUGGCCCCCAAUUUUUGAAAAAUAAUAAGAUCGAUGACAGUGUUGAAAAUCGACAAUUUUCACUAAAAUAAACUUUAAACUACCGAACUGUGUCGUUUUUAAUAAUAACAAAUUCUCAGUAUUGAUGUAAAAUGGAUUUAAAAUACGACCGGUACAGGCAUUUCGCGUUAAAAUUGCUGAAUUCGGCCAUUUCAGACUCAAAAUUCGCUUAUUAGCAACCCUUGCUUCAAGUAACAAUUUAUAACAGCUAUUUCAUUUGUUAAUUCUAUUUAAUAUUUUCCUAACCAGAAACUGAAGCAAGGGUUGCUAAUAAAUGAAUUUUGGAAAAAAUGAUAUUAUUUGUCUGGCCUUUCUCACGUAUAAGAGUGGCCUCCCUUGAAGCCAGGUGCUCGUUGCCAGGCAAUAUUAUAGGUGGCGCCGCUGUCAACAUGUGCAUGUGAAAGCGAAAGUAGAAUGUUUAUCUAGGAAUUAUUACAACAUUUUACCCUUCUACGUUGAAUUUUAAGCUUCAGCCUACUUCUAAAAAAGCUGUCUUACGUCAGUAUUCUCCCACCAGCAUGACUAAUGCAUAUAACCUGGUGAAGGACAGGGGUGUCUCUGUAUACAUGGCUGCUAAAUUACAUGGUGUCCCAACUUCAACCUUGCGUGAUAGAGUUGACAAUAGAGUCUCUAUUGAAACUGUUAAGUCUGGACCAGAGCCAGUGUUAACCUUAGAGGAAGAAGCCAAACUUUGUGCUCAUCUGAAGGAGUUAGCAGAGGUAGGUUAUGGAUAUACCCGUGCUGAAACAAUAGCAUUAGCCUCUGACUAUGCAGUUGCACUUGGAAAAAGAAAUGUUGACAAUCCCUUCAGCAUGAAAUGGUUUUAUGGUUUCAUGAAGAGGUGGCCGGAGCUGAAUGUAGUUCGUCCGUCUAGUUUGUCAGAGCAACGUGCAAAGUGUGCCAGUGAUACAUGUAUUUACAAUUAUUUCUGUGAACUUAACAGAAUAGUCAGCAAGUAUGCCCUAAGUGAUAAACCACAGAAUAUCUAUAACAUUGACGAAAAGGGUAUCAAUACGGAAUUUAAACCACCUAAUGUAGUUGCAGGUAAAGCAUCCAAGCCACAAGCUAUCAUGGCUGAACGUUCAAAAACUGUGACUGUCAUUGGUGGAGGAAAUGCUUUGGGCCAGAGUAUUCCAGGGGAAAGACUUGUAGAUGGUCUUAUGGACGGUAAAACUCCAGGCGCUGAUGGUGUUAUGACCAAAACAGGCUGGUCAAAUACUGAUGUGUUUAGAAAAUAUCUUAAAGAUCACUUUGUUAAGUUUGUUCAGGGUAGAGAUAUGUCUGAUACUAUUCUUGUUCUUUAUGACGGUCACAGAAGCCAUCUGUCUGUUGAUCUGAUUGAAUAGGCCCAAGAUAAUAACAUUGUUCUGUUUGUUUUGCCACCACACACAUCCCAUGUCCUUCAGCCAAUGGAUAUUGGUUGUUUCGGACCUCUUCAACUGAAGUACAGUCAAGAGUGUACCACUUUUGCACGUCUUAACCACAGGGUCGUAACCAGGUAUGAUGUGUGUGGUCUUGCAUGCAAAGCCUAUGCAGCCGCUUUGAACCCCAUUAACCUACAGUCUGCAUUUAAAAAAGCAGGUAUCUUCCCCCUGUUGGAUGGUAAGACCAUGUGUGAGUCUCUGGGUACUAAAACAAAACCUUCAAUGCUUUAUAGUUGUACAGAAAAUGAUAAGGAUAUAGCUUUACCAAACAAUGAGCAUAAUGAAACUUCAGUUAAUGACACAAAUGGUGGUAAGGAUGAAGCCUUGCAGGUACCUGAACAGUUUUUUAGUAAACGUAAAGGUGUUGUAGUUCAGAAGGUAACUAAAAAAAGAAGAAAUGUUAACAAUAUUGUUGGUGGAAAGGCACUUGAAGGUGACACUGUUGAAAAACUAAGGAAGUACCACCAAGAAUCUGUAAAGCAAAAACCCCAUGAAUGUAAAUCUGUAAAAUCAAAACAAUCUGUAAAACAAAAGAAGGUUUCAAAAAAGUUGAGCAAACCUUUCACUGAUUUGUCACAGACUGCAUGCAACCACUUCCAGGACCAUCACAUAUAAAUUUAGCCUGUGAUAGCAGUUCUGUUGCAAGUAACUCUCAGACUGACUCAUCUGAUGAAUCUGAGGUUUGCUGUGUAUGUAAACAUUUUUAUGUACCUCGUGAAUUAAGAGAUGGAACUCUGUGCAUUACCCAGUGGGCCCAGUGUGAUGUAUGUGAUCACUGGGUUCACUUGAAAUACUGUACUCCUGUGAGAGUUGUAAGGAAAAAUACUGAAUUCAAGUGUAAAUGUUGUUUGUAAAGUAUAUAAUAUGAAAUGUGUGCAUCAGAAAUAAAAUAUUAAUAGGUCAAACAUCACUAGGUUAAUUAUUGUAUUUUAAUCUGAAACAAAUUUGCAUUUCCAGUACUGUAUGGUAUAGCAUUUUACAGAUCUAUAAAUAGCUCGAGAACAGGUGACGCCAUUUUGGAAGCUGAUUGUAAACAUGCCUUUACAGUUCAUGUGGUCUGAAAUUCGAAUAAGGCAUGCUUUUUGUGGUCUAUAAUAAGAAAUCAGAUAUUAUAUGAUUGUCUGAACUAGAAGGUAAGCGUACUGUUGCAUUGUUUAUGUUGCUGUUCGGAGUUUGUUUGUUAGAUUAACGAGAACUGGUAACGCCAGGAUAUGAAUAUUGAGAUGGUUAUUUAGUUACCUUCAACUGGUCAGUGGCCAAAAGGUAUGUCUUUUUGAUAAUUGUAAAAUUUUCCUUACACACUUUUUCUUAUGAUAAUUAUAGGCCUCCCAAGUUAAUCUCCACAGUUCUUACCAUCUAUCUACUUUGUUUCUGCUGAAAGUAUAAACACUUUAAAAUAACUAUUCUAUAUUCUGUAUAUAUCCAGGGUUGCAGUGUAUCACAUUCUCUUUUUGAAAUUUCUGUGACCUAUAUUUUCUAGAGUAAAAGAAAAUGUUGUCAUAUUUAUGCAAGAGUAAGACCAGAUCAACUGAGACCCAAAAUAUAGUUGUGGUGUGUGACUUACUUGUUCUCAUGACAUAAUGAAAGAUCAGCUGCUGUGGAAUGCCAGCCAUACACAUGUACCUGCCAGAACAUUACCUUUUAAUUCAAGAAAAUUGCUUUUAAAUCAAUUUUGUGGCUUUAUAUCUAUAAACCUGAGGUCAUAUUCAUAAAGCUUCUAAGAUUAUUUUCAUCUAAGAUAUUCAAUAUUUUGUUAGAAACCUGAAGCUGAAAUAUUUUCUUAUUUAAAAUAUGAGAAACAUUAUGAAUAUGUCCUCUGUAAUUAAAUUAAUUGAUGAAUCACACACUUAUGCAUAUUGGUUAUGUCAUAAAAUAUUAUUUGACUUUUUUAUUUUAGGGAGUAUUUCUGUGUGUCUUGAAGCAUUGAAUGCCCCAAAACAACUAGUAUGAUAAGAAGAUUCAGAGUAUACAGCUUCCCAAAAUGUUGAAAGACUAAGCUGUUUUUCUAUGGACUUGUAUACUAUCUGGGUUGAAAACAGCCACAGAUAAUGAAUUUGGAGGUGCAUGCUGGAGCAUCAGAAAUUACAUACUUGGAAUAAAUAAAUGCACAAUACACAUUUACUGAGAAGUGACUAAUGUUUAUGUUAAAGUGCAAUAUCCAUAUUUGUAACAUUUACUUGGGGGUAGUAGUUACAGUGUUGAAAGAGACUACCAGUGUUACAUUUCAAUCUAAGUUACAGUGUGGAUGCUAAUUCUAAAUUCUUGAUAAUCAAGUGUUUUUAACUGUUUAAUUUAUCACAUUCCUACAUCAUUAUUUUAUAUAAAAUGCUUGUAGUUAUAUAAUAUAUGUCGGGUUAAAUGGUAAUACAUUUUGUUUCUGUGUAAAUAUCUUGCUUUUUGAAAAAUGAAAAUGAUACAUUCAGUGGCCAUCAUCUGUCAAAAAGUUAUUAUAAAUGCAUCAAAACUGAUGGAAAGUUAUGCAGUAACUUUUCACAAGUUCAUGAAAUAGCAUAAUAUCCAUAGCAUUGUAUAGUUUUCCUAAACCUGUAUCUGGGGCCAUCAUAAAUUAAUUGCUACAUUAAUUUUUCUUCACAAGGGAAAGGAAGUUUUCUAUAAUUUAUUUUUAAUUUCAGAUAUUUUAUUUUUGCUUUAAUGAGGAUUUAAAGAGAAAAACUGACAUAAUUAUAAUAGUUAUUUUUGCCAAAUGGAUUUGAUUAUAAGCAAUAACAACUGACAGUUAAUAAUUUAUAACAUUCUUUAUAGAAAUAUUCCACAGAUGAUCUUGGAAACUAAAAAUAGUAAGGGUAGGCAUAAAUAUAGUGGGAGUGGAUGAUAAUCUAACAAUUAAUAUAGUAUGGCCUUACAAAUAUAAAUCAGUAAAUACUUACUGGCAAUAAUAUUGAUUAGGUAUGAUGCAGCUAUAUGAUAAAUAUAUAUUUUUGAAUGGUGAUUUGUUAUGAGAAAAAAAGCUGAUAUAUACAGUCUAGAGUCUUCUAGUAAGCUGCAUAAUUAUGAUUGGAACUAGCUCCAUAUUUCCUUUCUUUAACUUCAUAAUAAAAUAGCCAAGUAUCACAAUUAUAUGAAUUCUAAUGUCAGUUGUGUAAACAACUGAAAAUGCAUUGCAUUCAUUUUCUAAAGUAAUAGUUAGCAUUUGGUCAUAUCUCAUAUUUGGCCUUCAAUAACUGGAAAGGGAAGGCAACAAAUGGAAUUUAUGAUUAUACACCAAAUAUGGAGAAACUGAUCAAUAGCAGAAUGCUUUAGCUUAAUAUGAUUGUCAAAAUUUAUUGUAGUUUAGAAGAUGAUCUCUUUCUUUAAGAGGCUGGAAGGUGAAAUGUCAAUAUCACAGUGACCCUAAGACUGAAAUAUUUUAUUAUGGAAAGCUGAAUAAUAAUUUUGCCCAUGGUCAUCAGGCUUUAAAUCAUAACAGAUGAAUAAUUUGGGGUCAGUAGAUCAAAGUUAAAGGUCACUGACAAUUAGAUAAAGAGUGGUUCAGGUUAUAUAAGCUUGAGAACACUUUCACUUAUUAUGAUCAUUCAGCAUUAUAGCAUGAAUGCCUAUGUUCAGUAGAUGACCACUAUAGUGUUUGGCAAAUAGGUCAAAGUUCAAUUACAAACCAUACUGAAAAUAAAUGUAAGUAACAUGCCCAGUCACCACUAACAGGCCAUCAUGGGAGACAUAAUUUUGUCGUUUUUGUGCCCCUCACCCACCCCCAUGAGUGGUGGGGGCAUAUAGAUUUGCUCUUGUCUGUCCGUCCCUCCGAGAAUGUUGUGUCGCGUCUAGCUCCAAAAGUAUUUGACGUAGAGUCACAAAACUUUACA